CAGUAUUCAGCCUAGCCUAGCUGAGCACAGAGAGGAGCUCAUCUCAGCAACACAGAAUGUCCUGCUGGGAGUGAUCAAAAUACUUUUAGUAGAGGAUGAUGCUACUGUGAGAAAGGUCCUAGCAGCUGCUAAGAGGGUGUUGGACUGCCUUUCCCUUCUGGGUUCCUCGCUGGACAUCAAAGCUUUACUUAGGGCCUUCCAAAGGUUUUCAGAGGCCCUGGUUCUUCUGAACAAACUGGUUGUUGAACGGGCUGAGGCCCUACAGGACCCUACUCAAACAGAUAACCUGCACAGUUGUUUGGACACCUUAAAGAAAUGCAUCUCCUUGCUUCACACAGCCAUUGUCACCACCAUAAAACACCCAACCAGUGAGCAGGCCCAAGCCUCCAAAACAUACAUUCUGAGCAAAGUGGAAAGCACAGUGAAUGAAAUUGUCACAAUACUCAAGAGUGAAUGCCGUGCAGGUGGUGGCGUCUUAGAUCUCAGAUAUAGUGAGCCGAGCCAGACUCUUAACAGAGCGCCAUUGUAUCGACGACACUCUCAGCCUGGAGAUACGGAUUCAAUGCUGGUCUGCUAAGGCUCGCUAUGUAACUGAGGAGCUCUAUAAGGUGGAUGAGCUAAUCCAGGAGGCUAAGGAAAAAGUCAAGGCUGGUCUGCAGGGUGGAAGAUCAGGGGAUUCCAAAAAGUGGAUGACUGGGACAAGUCUUUGUACUACCAUGAAGAGGGUUGAUUACCAACCAGAGAUUGCACCCUGGCAGCUAAUCAAUACAGAGAAUUUUAAUGUCUCAGGACAGGCCAGUAUAAGUGGUGAAAAUCCCCAACAUGAAUCGGUGAUGGCAACUCAACAAUGUGAGGCCUCAAAGUCUGCUGUCUGCGGGGACACCCCAUUCCUGACAAACUCCACCGGGUCCCUCAUGUACACCACAACCACUCCUUCUCUUACCUAUACCUCCCUGUUCCUCAAACAAGAGACAGACCAGUGGGAUGCUCAGGGCAACCGUAUCGUCCAGGUAACCAGGGAGAUGGCGGACCAGAUCUACCACAUGGCCCAGUACCUGAGGAGGAAAGGACCAAUACUGGUGAUGAAGAUCAAUCAACCAAUACAUCUACUUAUUGUUUCAACUGGAAAGAAUUUAGUGCAGUCUGGUUAAAUUGGGAUAAAUUCAGCCUCUGUCUUGGAAUGCUUACAUUUUUUAUAUUUACCAUCACAGAUUAAGCCAUUUUGAAAUAUAUAUUACAGAACAAAGAGAUGUUUGUCGGCACAGCAAAGGGUGUGGUCUCAAACUGCCAGUCCAUCACCAACUUUCUGAAGGUCAUAGUAAACCACUGUUUGGACCAACAGUGUUCCGCUGAGCUGUCUUUAAGAGUGGAACAGAUUCUCACUAUCACUAAUCAACUCACUAUCAUCUCCAGUGUUAACGCACUGACGGCUGGAAGCAAGUCUUCAGAUGAGAUUCUUGUGAAGAACGCCCAGAACCUACUUAAGGUUGUUCUGCAGGGGGUCAGAUCAGCAGAGACGGCCUGUAUUAAGGGUCUAAAACAACCAGAACCAAACUCAGACGGAGUGGAGGCCGCAUCAAUGUGUUUCCAGUGGAAGAGGAACCUUCAGAUGCACCGAGCCCAGCAGAACUCUAACCCAGACACUGAUGAUCUGGGUUUGAGGAAAACCUCCCUGCACCGAGAAUCCCCAAGCCUGGCCCCUCCUGUAGACAUAAAGGACCAAGGAUUCAAGUGACCCUAACACACACCCCAGACUAGUCACUUGGAAAUGGUGCAAGAAAAUAUAUGACACCGAAACCAUGUACAUUUCUAAGUGACUUAGGAACUGAAAUGUCGGGCUCCCAAAUUGUUUUAAUAUGCUUUGCAGGGUGACCCAGGAUCUUAUCCUGGUUGCUAGCCCUAUUCCAACCCAAAAAGGGCGGUGCAGAUUGGCUUAGCAUAUUCCAUGUUGGGGGGGAGAAGAUCAGAAAGAUAAUUGUUUUGCUGUGCUUUUACUAACGAGGAUGUCAAUAUUACUAAUAUACUGUAUACCUAAUUUUAUCCCAAAAUGCAUUCAUGCCUCUCAUGUCAACUGUUAUUUUAUUAUUUAUGUAUUUUUUUUGAAACAGAC
ensembl:lncRNA